rnacentral:pre_miRNA from 1 species
AUAAAAGUCACUUAUAGACCUUGUCAAAAUGCAGAUUUUGAUUUAUAUGUCUGGGGCCCAACACUCUGUAUUUCUGACAAGCUCCCAGGUGAUGCUAAG